UACGAUAUGCGCUGUCACUUGUCAACGCAACCUUUUCUAUAGUGGAUGUUCUUUACUGCGAAACGAAUGUAAGUUAGAAUAUAUGUCCUGCUCACUAUUGAAAUUAAGUUGAUAACGAACGUUUAGAAGCAAAACAGUCUAGCGUAGCCGAACACACACUCCUCUAAAACGUGACUUUUCUGUGGGCGACUGUUGCAACAAACAAAUAUUGAUUUCAAGCCCCGGAAUAUAGGCACAUUUCCCGGAUAUCAAAGCUGAUUGAUGAAUGUUUUUUUAAUCACUUGUUGCGCAUGGAAUCUAACAAUAACACUUUGCCCAGGUGAGGUUGGAUCUGGCCUGCUACUUUGGACACAAAGAUGUUGUGGAGGAGCUACUCACGGAAGUAGUUAUUUUUCUGUUACGAUACCUGUGCCACUAUCAUCUACGGGACAGCCCAGGUCCCUAAAUCUGUCUACGAGGAUAAUGAGACCAUCGCCAUGCACGAGGCUGCAGAGAUCAGAAAGGAGAAGAGGAAGGAAGCGAAGCUUCUGGGGGUGGACAGAGAGGGAGACAUCUUCAGCCUGUCUCAGCUGGUCAGCAUCUGAUCAUCCCUGGCCCUCCACUGAACCUCUCAACCUCAAGCUCUGCAAGAUGAGGCCUCCAGACAUCCACUGUAGAGACCUGCCUACAGGGGGCAGAAGCAGUGUGUGAGAAAGAUGCUCUGGAGCCAGCCCCAGCAUCAAGAAUGAGCAACCAAACUGUUUUUGACCUGGCCUGCAGUGAGGAGAUUAAGCAGAUUCUGGUGGGCAGUCAUGACAAGAGUUCCAGUUUUCUGGGAUGGCAUUCUUAUUGGGUGGUCAUUCAAACGGAGUUAUAUUCUGGUAUCCAAGACAGUUAAAGCAUGGGACUAGUGCCUCUUCCUUUGGUCUCCAUCACUUUAAGGUGUCAUCCAAGAUGGAUCCAGAGGCAAAGAAAAAGAUGCUUGGAUGCCCUGGAGGAGCAUGUGGCCAACAGCAGCUGUCACUACCCAGGAGCAGACAGAUGAGGAGGGGGAUGAAGAUAGAUCUUGGUGACCUCACAGACUCCUCCCAGGUCAGAUGAAGUCAACACCAGCGGAUCCCAAAUAUUUCCGUUCUGGAGACCACCAAAUCACUAUCAAAAGCUCUUGAUCUAAAAUAAAUAAACACUAAAACAUUUUGCAGACCAUCUGCACAGCGGACCACAGGUUGAAACCACUAGUCUACACGCACACACCCAGACCGGAACUCAAACCAACACAGAUUCCAACUUUUUCAGGGCUAGCCAAUCACAGAGUUCCAUUGUUACCUUAUUUUUAAUAUUCUACUCCAGAAAAGGGACAGUUGGUUUCAGUUAGCCCUGCUUGUGUGAACAAAAACUAUGCUAGCCCAGGCCCAUUCAGUCGUAUUGAUGCUUACACAAUUGUUUACAAGUGGGCUGUGUUCUUAUUGGCUCAUGCAUUCAUGGUGAAUGGGUGAUUGAAGCCCCUCCCCCUGCUGUGACUGGCCAGUAGCUGUGUGACAAGGGAGGGUUAGUAAACUGAGGGGCUGAUGGCUGUGUAUGUGUAGAAGGGAGGGUUUGUUUGUGUGUGUGUGCGCACCUGUCCUCGCGGCCGUGCCCUUGGGACAUCAGUAGAACAGAGUGGUAAUCACUAGCAAGCCUGUAGCAAGGACACAGCCGAGCAAGAUCCGCUUUUAUGCUGAGCUCUGCACUCUGCUUGCAGAUCAGUGCAGGCACACACACUCACACACGCUCUUGCUUAAGGGAAACGCUAGGCAUUUGGAGACGGAACUGUUGCACGUGCAUAUUAACACUGAAGCAGAAACGCAUGCUUUCACACUCGCACGCACGUACGUACGUACGUUCACAGAGGCAGGCACAAUUCUACCACCCAGCAGAGCAUCCCGAGGACAGGAGGAGGAAAAGUGACAGCAGCACCCUCUAUCCACUCAGGUACAGACAAACAUCCUCCCUUUGUUUUUCAUUGUCUUCUGAACUACUAUGGGUCUAUUUGCAUUAGGCUGCUCUUUAUAAACUGUGCUUGUUUCAUUCUGAGGCUAAGUACUUGAAGGUUGUUCAAGUGAGUGUUUCUUAAAUGUAUUUAUUUGACCUUUUAUUUAAACAGGGAUUCACCAUUUAGACCAGGGUAGGGUCUCUUUUGCAAUGUACGUAGAUCAUUAAAAACAGGCAUUUUACAUUCAGAACAAGUCAUCUUGACUGCUCUGAUGGUGAAGUGUGCAUGAAGAGGGUUUUGCAUAGUGUUCAGUGCAUUUACAACUUUUAUCUGGUAAUAUGCAUUUUAUGACAUUGGGUUUUAU